GCAGUAGCCGCGGGAAUACGAAGGGGGCUAGCGUUGUUCGGAAUUACUGGGCGUAAAGGGCGCGUAGGCGGCCAUUCGAGUUAGAUGUGAAAGCCCUGGGCUCAACCUAGGAAUUGCAUUUGAUACUGUUUGGCUUGAGUUCGGGAGAGGUGAGUGGAAUUCCCAGUGUAGAGGUGAAAUUCGUAGAUAUUGGGAAGAACACCAGUGGCGAAGGCGGCUCACUGGACCGACACUGACGCUGAGGCGCGAAAGCGUGGGGAGCAAACAGGAUUAGAUACCCGCGUAGUCCCUGUCUCUUAUAC
rnacentral:rRNA from 1 species